rnacentral:tRNA from 1 species
GUUUCCGUAGUGUAGUGGUUAUCACGUCCGCCUCACACGCGGAAGGUCGCAGGUUCGGUCCCUGCCGGAAACU